rnacentral:misc_RNA from 1 species
GCCCUGACGGCUUUGGAGUUUGUCAAAAAUAUUCAUGAUAUGAUGGUGAGAAAGAUGUACAAAUUUCCCCUGUUAGACAAAUCUGCUUUUCGAAUUGCCAAUGACAUGAUGGGCCGUAUAAAACUAGAAAAAAAUGGCAAGAGUCUAGAUUUCUUAACCGGCGAACUAUCACCCAAUCGUAUUUCUGCUAUUCAGGAAAUCUAUUGGAGUAUGGCGUCUGCCCUCUCUGAAGCUGAUGGAAUUGAUUAUACUGAUCCAGAAGAGCUCGAGCUGUUGAUUAGAACUCUUAUGGAUCUUGAUGCAAUGGAUGGCAAAAGCAGUGUAUCACUGCUUGCAGAAUGUUCGAGUUCUCCGGACGAAAAUACUAGACAAGCUCUGGCGAAUGCUCUGGCAGCAGCCCCGUCCAUGUGGACUCUUGGAAAUGCAGGCAUGGGAGCA